rnacentral:rRNA from 2 species
UCGGGAAUUUUGCCCAAUGGACGAAAGUCUGAGGCAGCAACUCCGCGUGAGGGAUGAAGGCUCUCGGGUCGUAAACCUCUUUUCUCAGGGAAGAUCCAAGACGGUACCUGAGGAAUAAGCCACGGCUAACUACGUGCCAGCAGCCGCGGUAAUACGUAGGUGGCAAGCGUUGUCCGGAUUUACUGGGCGUAAAGAGCGCGCAGGCGGCUGGUCAAGUCCGAUGUGAAAUCUCCCGGCUCAACUGGGAAACUGCAUCGGAAACUGAUCAGCUUGAAGGUGGGAGAGGGUAGUGGAAUUCCCGGUGUAGUGGUGAAAUGCGUAGAUAUCGGGAGGAACACCAGUGGCGAAGGCGACUACCUGGCCCACUCUUGACGCUGAGGCGCGAAAGCUAGGGGAGCGAACGGG